UGGGGAAUCUUGGACAAUGGGGGAAACCCUGAUCCAGCCAUGCCGCGUGAUCGAUGAAGGCCUUAGGGUUGUAAAGAUCUUUCAGCUGGGAAGAUAAUGACGGUACCAGCAGAAGAAGCCCCGGCUAACUCCGUGCCAGCAGCCGCGGUAAUACGGAGGGGGCUAGCGUUGUUCGGAAUUACUGGGCGUAAAGCGCACGUAGGCGGAUCAGUAAGUUAGAGGUGAAAGCCCAGGGCUCAACCCUGGAACUGCCUUUAAUACUGCUAGUCUAGAGGUCGAGAGAGGUGAGUGGAAUUCCGAGUGUAGAGGUGAAAUUCGUAGAUAUUCGGAGGAACACCAGUGGCGAAGGCGGCUCACUGGCUCGAUACUGACGCUGAGGUGCGAAAGCGUGGGGAGCAAACA
rnacentral:rRNA from 1 species